AACUCACGGUUUCUCGAGGACCUAGAGAUGCUGAGUUCGAGUGCACCUGAGCAAUUACCAAGCUCAGCCGAAGAAACCAGCCCCGAGAGACCUUUAGACGCACUUGGAAGUUUCAACCUCAGAGGAAGCAACCCACUUGAGCAACUCGGACUGUACAUGAAACAAGAUGAUGAUGAAGAAGAGCCCGAAGCUCCUGCUGUUCCAAAACCUGAUGAAACCAGCACCGAGAGACCUUUAGACGCACUUGGAAGUUUCAAACUCGGAGAAUGUAAUCCGCUGGAGCAACUUGGACUGUACAUGAAACAAGACGACGGUGAAGAAGAAGAACCCGAGGCUCCUGUGGUUCCAAAACCCAAUGAAACCAGCCUCGAGAGACCUGUAGACGCAUUUGGAAGUUUCAACCUCAAAGGAAGUAACCCUCUUGAGCAACUCGGACUGUACAUGAAACAAGACGAUGAUGAAGAAGAACCCGAGGCUCCCGCUGUUCCAAACCUAGCCAACG
rnacentral:lncRNA from 1 species